GGUAAGUUACAGCUCAGUGGUAGAGUGUGUGCUUAGCAUGCACAAGGUCCUGGGUUCAAUCCCCACGACCUCCA
rfam:Camelus ferus unplaced genomic scaffold scaffold1399, whole genome shotgun sequence.